CAUACCCCGAUCUGGUUACCCCUGCUGGUGAGCCAGACAGAUGCUCACUGUGUGAGUGAGUGAGAGAGAGAGAGAGAGAAAGAGAGGAGCAGGAUGUACAAGCUGCUGUGGUUCUGGACGAGCGUGGCUCUUCUGAUGUCCUGCUGUGGUCAUGGGAAGCUGAGUGAACCGGUUUGGUGUGGCAGUAAGACUCUGACAUGGAGCUGGCUUCAACUGGACAACAUCACACAGGACCCAGGAGAAUACGACUAUUCAAAACUCCACAGACUACUACCUAUUCUUUGACAAUGAAACGGUGAUUGACUAUGACGACUGGGGAAGUGGUUCAGCCGACCAGACGGUUGUCGGUAUGGGUCAGGUGACCCUGGUUCUGCUGCUUGGAUUGGCUUUCCCACAUGUCCUUCAUUGAGUGGGCGGGCUUUAAGCCUCCAGAUCUUCGGCCCAGCCAGAGAGGGACAAGUUUGAAGCGUCCAAUCAGAAGGAGAGACCAUGGUACCUGUCUGAGCUCCGUCGACUCCAGCACCGCCCAGCACGAUUACUAUUCCCCACAGUUGGACAUCGUUUCCAUCAUGGCUAAGAAACAUGCAUUCAAAUGAUAUUUUGCAGUUUAUUUUUAUAAAUAAAGGUUUGUUCAAAUCCCUGGUUCAACCCCAAGUUCCCCGGUGAUCAGAGAUGCACAUCGGUGAACAGUCGUUGUCGUACAUUGCAUGACGGGUAUGAGGAUGUGGAGCACUAUUCAGGGACCCUGAUUGGUUGACUGUUUAGGACGCGUCACUGUCAUAUCUCACAGGGUACAGCGGACAUGUUUGAACCCAUCUGGAUCUCAUCUCUGAAUGCGCCACACUUAGCAGCAUCACUUCAUUAAGGCCCCGUUUACACAAAG
ensembl:lncRNA